UCUGGCCCUAGGCCCGAGUUGUAAUUUGCAGAGGAUGCUUUUGGUGCGGUGCCUUCCAAGUUCCCUAGAACGGGACGCCAGAGAGGGUGAGAGCCCCGUACAGUUGGACACCAAGCCUUUGUAAAGCUCCUUCGACGAGUCGAGUAGUUUGGGAAUGCUGCUCAAAAUGGGAGGUAUAUUUCUUCUAAAGCUAAAUACCGGCCAGAGACCGAUAGCGCACAAGUAGAGUGAUCGAAAGAUGAAAAGCACUUUGAAAAGAGGGUUAAACAGCACGUGAAAUUGUUAAAAGGGAAGCGCUUGUGACCAGACUUGCGUCCGGUGAAUCACCCAGCUCUCGCGGCUGGGGCACUUCGCCGGCUCAGGCCAGCAUCAGCUCGCUGUCGGGGACAAAAGCUUCAGGAACGUAGCUCUCUUCGGGGAGUGUUAUAGCCUGUUGCAUAAUACCCUUCGGCGGGCUGAGGUACGCGCUCCGCAAGGAUGCUGGCAUAAUGGUCAUCAGCGACCCGUCUUGAAACACGGACCAAGGAGUCAACCUUAUGUGCGAGUGUUCGGGUGUCAAACCCCUACGCGUAAUGAAAGUGAACGCAGGUGAGAGCUUCGGCGCAUCAUCGACCGAUCCUGAUGUUCUCGGAUGGAUUUGAGUAAGAGCAUAUAGGGUUGGACCCGAAAGAAGGUGAACUAUGCGUGUAUAGGGUGAAGCCAGAGGAAACUCUGGUGGAGGCUCGCAGCGGUUCUGACGUGCAAAUCGAUCGUCAAAUAUGCGCAUGGGGGCGAAAGACUAAUCGAACCUUCUAGUAGCUGGUUUCCGCCGAAGUUUCCCUCAGGAUAGCAGUGUUGAACUCAGUUUUAUGAGGUAAAGCGAAUGAUUAGGGACUCGGGGGCGCUAUAUUGCCUUCAUCCAUUCUCAAACUUUAAAUAUGUAAGAAGCCCUUGUUACUUAAUUGAACGUGGGCAUUCGAAUGUAUCAACACUAGUGGGCCAUUUUUGGUAAGCAGAACUGGCGAUGCGGGAUGAACCGAACGCGAGGUUAAGGUGCCAGAGUAGACGCUCAUCAGACACCACAAAAGGUGUUAGUACAUCUUGACAGCAGGACGGUGGCCAUGGAAGUCGGAAUCCGCUAAGGACUGUGUAACAACUCACCUGCCGAAUGUACUAGCCCUGAAAAUGGAUGGCGCUCAAGCGUCUCACCCAUACCUCGCCCUCAGUGUAGAAACGAUGCGCUGAGGGAGUAGGCGGA
rnacentral:rRNA from 1 species